AUUAAACGCUGGCGGCAGGCUUAACACAUGCAAGUCGAGCGGGGAAGGGUAGCUUGCUACCUGACCUAGCGGCGGACGGGUGAGUAAUGCUUAGGAAUCUGCCUAUUAGUGGGGGACAACAUUCCGAAAGGAAUGCUAAUACCGCAUACGCCCUACGGGGGAAAGCAGGGGAUCUUCGGACCUUGCGCUAAUAGAUGAGCCUAAGUCAGAUUAGCUAGUUGGUGGGGUAAAGGCCUACCAAGGCGACGAUCUGGAGCGGGUCUGAGAGGAUGAUCCGCCACACUGGGACUGAGACACGGCCCAGACUCCUACGGGAGGCAGCAGUGGGGAAUAUUGGACAAUGGGCGAAAGCCUGAUCCAGCCAUGCCGCGUGUGUGAAGAAGGCCUUUUGGUUGUAAAGCACUUUAAGCGAGGAGGAGGCUACUUGGAUUAAUACUCUAGGAUAGUGGACGUUACUCGCAGAAUAAGCACCGGCUAACUCUGUGCCAGCCGCCGCAGUAACAC
rnacentral:rRNA from 1 species